rnacentral:tRNA from 1 species
GCUCUCAUAGUGUAGCGGUUAGCACCACAGACUUUGAAUCUGUUAUCCUGGGUUCAAAUCCCGGUGAGAGCU